GGCUCAGGAUGAACGCUAGCUACAGGCUUAAACACAUGCAAGUCGAGGGGAAACGAUAGAGAAAGCUUGCUUUUUCUAGGCGUCGACCGGCGCACGGGUGAGUAACGCGUAUCCAACCUGCCCAUCACUUGGGGAUAACCUUGCGAAAGUAAGACUAAUACCCAAUGACGUCUCUAGAAGACAUCUGAAGGAGAUUAAAGAUUUAUCGGUGAUGGAUGGGGAUGCGUCUGAUUAGCUUGUUGGCGGGGUAACGGCCCACCAAGGCGACGAUCAGUAGGGGUUCUGAGAGGAAGGCCCCCCACAUUGGAACUGAGACACGGUCCAAACUCCUACGGGAGGCAGCAGUGAGGAAUAUUGGUCAAUGGACGAGAGUCUGAACCAGCCAAGUAGCGUGCAGGAUGACGGCCCUAUGGGUUGUAAACUGCUUUUAUAAGGGAAUAAAGUGAGUCUCGUGAGACUUUUUGCAUGUACCUUAUGAAUAAGGACCGGCUAAUUCCGUG
rnacentral:rRNA from 1 species